rnacentral:rRNA from 1 species
UUGAACGCUGGCGGCAUGCCUUACACAUGCAAGUUGAACGGCAGCACGGGUGCUUGCACCUGGUGGCGAGUGGCGAACGGGUGAGUAAUACAUCGGAACAUGUCCUGUAGUGGGGGAUAGCCCGGCGAAAGCCGGAUUAAUACCGCAUACGAUCUACGGAUGAAAGCGGGGGACCUUCGGGCCUCGCGCUAUAGGGUUGGCCGAUGGCUGAUUAGCUAGUUGGUGGGGUAAAGGCCUACCAAGGCGACGAUCAGUAGCUGGUCUGAGAGGACGACCAGCCACACUGGGACUGAGACACGGCCCAGACUCCUACGGGAGGCAGCAGUGGGGAAUUUUGGACAAUGGGCGAAAGCCUAAUCCAGCAAUGCCGCGUGUGUGAAGAAGGCCUUCGGGUUGUAAAGCACUUUUGUCCGGAAAGAAAUCCUUGGCCCUAAUACGGUCGGGGGAUGACGGUACCGGAAGAAUAAGCACCGGCUAACUACGUG